CGUGUACUCCUUCCGUUUCAUAAUUCUUGUCUCAAAUUUGUCAAAAAAUGGAUGUAUCUAUUUGUAAAAAACGUCUAGAUACAUGUAAUAUUUCGACAAGAGUUAUGAAACGGAGCGAGUAAUGU
rnacentral:pre_miRNA from 1 species